UACGUAGGAGGCGAGCGUUGUCCGGAAUUACUGGGCGUAAAGAGCGUGUAGGCGGCCUGAAAGGUCAGCUGUGAAAACUCGAGGCUCAACCUCGAGACGUCGGUUGAAACCAUCUGGCUAGAGUCCGGAAGAGGAGUGUGGAAUUCCCGGUGUAGCGGUGAAAUGCGCAGAUAUCAGGAAGAACACCCGUGGCUAAGGCGGCUCUCUAGUACGGUACUUACGCUGAGACGCGAAAGCGUGGGGAGCGAACAGG
rnacentral:rRNA from 1 species